UUGGAGUAUCGAUCGGUUCUGAGCUCCUGUCACUAAUAUCGACUUCUUAUAUUCUGCUCAGCUCUCCAGACACAUGUUGUUCAUCAUCUUCCACCAUAUAUUCCAUCAUAGAUCUCAUCUCAAUCUCUAGACUUGCUGCAGCAUCAUAGAGAAACUUGUUAACGAAAGCGUUUGCAAUGUCAUUCCAAGCAUUGAGAGAUCCUGGUGGUAGCUUCUUCAACCAAUGAGUUGCAUCCCCAUCAAGAGAAUAUGGGAAUAAUUUGCAUAAAUAGUAGUCUUCAGGGACUCCAUUGCAUUUGAUGGUCGAUGCCAGAUCUAUAAAUGUCUCUAGGUGGCUAGUGGGAUCUUCAUGAGGAAAACCAUGGAAAGAAUGUUGACCCACAAGAGAGAUAUAUGCAGGGUGCAGCUCAAGGACAGUAUUCUGAAGUGCUGAACGACGCGAUGCACACCUUUUAGCAUAGGCGUCCUCAGGACUGUUAUAGUCUAUAAUUGCCUUCGGUCAUCCAGUCCUAACAUACACAGUGGUAGCAUCAGGGAUUGUAGAAGGUAUCGAUCGAUGACAAAUAUUUUUAUCGAUCGUUUCUGAAGUGCAGAUACCGAUCAAUUCUGAGUUACUACUGUCGAUCGAUGCUGAAGUCGGAUCUUUUGUAUCAGCUUCUUCUACUUUACUCUGCUCUCCUGAUACAUGAUAUUAAUCAUCUUUAACUGUAUCAUGGUUGACCAGCUUUUUUCUGUUCAGUUCGUCCAUCUGCUUACUCUCAUCUGCAUGGUGAACCUGAAUGUUUGGCUGCUUGACAUGAGUUGUCGGUGUUCCAAUAUCUCCAUUCUCCUCGCUGUAGAUGAAGUCAAGAAUCUGACUCAUACUAAUCAUUAUUCCUUUCUCCCGUUCUUUAAUCAUGUAAUCAAGCCUUUUACUUCGAGUUGCUACAGCCUCACUGAAAAAUUUGCCUAUGAAGGCUUCUUUGAUGUCUUCCCAGCAGGUUAGAGAUCUUGGUUGCAGCUUACUGAACCACCUAAAAGCAUCUCUAGAUAAACAAUAUGGGAAGAUCUUGCAGAUAAUGUGGUCUACAGAUAUUUCAUCGUACUUGUUUAGUUAAGCUAACUCCUCAAGUUUCUUGAUAAGAUCUUUGGGAUCCUCAUGAGGAAGACCGUAAAAUGGAUCCUCACUUCCCCCAAUCAUACCAUUGACUUGUCAGAUUAAAGGUAUUCGUCUCAGCCACAUCAAUUACAUCAUGGAUUACACUACCC
rnacentral:lncRNA from 1 species